rnacentral:tRNA from 1 species
CCCUUUGUAGCUCAAUGGAUAGAGCGGCUCCGUCCUAAGGAGACGAUGGGGGUUCGAUUCCCUCCGAGGGGACCA